rnacentral:rRNA from 1 species
AUGGCCUCUACGGAAACCACUGGCAGCAGCAAGAAGCUGCGUGUGCUCCUCAUCCCCUUCUUCGCCUCCAGCCACAUCGGGCCCUUCACCGAGCUCGCCGUUAGCCUUGCGACGGCCAGACCACAGGCCGUAGAGGCCACCAUCGCGGUGACGCCGGCGAACGUGUCGUUCGUCCGGUCGUUGCUCCAGCGGUACGAGAACGGCAGUUGCAUACCGGUGAAGGUGGCGACGUACCCGUUCCCGGCCGUGGACGGCCUCCCGUGGGGCGUCGAGAACCUCGGCACGGCCGCGCAGGCCGAUGCAUGGCGCAUCGAUGUGGCCGCGUUGAGCGAUACGCUGAUGCGCCCCGUCCAGGAAACGCUCAUCAGGGCGCAGUCGCCGGACGCGCUCAUCACCGACGUGCACUUCAUGUGGAACGCCGGCGUCUGCGACGGGCUCGGUGUGCCAUGCGUCACGUUCAACGUCAUCGGCGCCUUCUCGACGCUCGCGAUGCGCCAUCUACUGGGUCGCGUUUCCAGCAGCGAGCCGGAGGUGGUGACUACCAUCCCUCGGUUUCCGGACCCCGAGAUACGAGUACCCACGGUGGAGCUGCCGGAAUACUUGAGGAGCCAAGGGAAGGGUGACCAAUCCAUCUUCCACCGGCUCUAUGCGGUGCAAGGUGACUGCUUCGGGCUGGCCGUCAACACAUCGCCAGACCUGGAGGAGCAUUACUGCGGGAUGUACGUGGGCAAUGGCUACGCGAAGCGUGCGUACAUGCUAGGCCCCGUGUCACUACGACUGCCGUCGUCACCGGAAGCCGACGACUCACGGUACACCGACUGGCUUGACUCGAAGCCAAGCCGGUCGGUGGUGUACGUGUGCUUCGGCAGCCUCGCCCACGUCUCCGACGCUCAGCUGGACGAGCUCGCUCUCGGGCUUGAGGCCUCAGGGAUGGCGUUCCUGUGGGUGGUGAGGAUGGACAAGUGGUCUCCCCCGGAGCGGUGGCGCGAGCGUGUUGGAGGCAGGGGCAUGGUGGUCACCGCCUGGGCUCCGCAAAGGGCUAUCCUGGGGCACCGGGCAGUGGGGGCUUUCGUGACGCACUGCGGAUGGAACUCCGUCCUGGAGACGGUGGCGGCGGGUGUGCCGGUGCUGACAUGGCCCAUAGUGUUCGAGCAGUUCAUCACCGAGAGGCUGCUGACGGAGGUCCUAGGGAUCGGGGAGCGGCUGUGGCCGGACGGCGCCGGCGUUCGAAGCACGAGGCACGAAGAGCAGGAGGUAAUCCCCGCCCAAGAUGUGGCACCGGCAUUGACGACCUUCAUGCAGCCUGGAGGGCCGGGGGAUGCAGCGAGGAGCAGAGUCAUGGGCCUGGCCGCUAAGGUUCAUGCCGCGGUGGCAGAAGGAGGAUCCUCCAACCGUGAUCUGCACCGCUUGAUAGAUGACCUCAUGGAAGCUGCCGGUGUCGGUGCCGGAAGGACGACGAUAUGA